rnacentral:sRNA from 1 species
UCUUGUUUUUCUUUAUGUUCUUGAAUUUGGACUGACAAAAUUUUCGGACAUGGGAUAGACUGUUUUCUCACCUUAAUCUUAUUCUGACUCAUUUUAAAGAAGUUAGGACUAACAACUGCUUAGUGUAACUUAGAGUGGCCUGCUUUUGAUGUUAAAUGGCCACCUGGAAGAAGACCUUUUAUCUCCACAAGGUAUCAGCAGUAGAGGACAAAAUGUUUCAGAAAUUUUCCCUUCUCCCCCUUGCUAACACUUCUUUGUCAACAGGAACAACAAAAAAACAAAUCCAGCCCAGUAGCCAGCUCCAUCCUUGUUGACAGCAUCAGCUUUAGAGCACUAACUACUCUUCCAGAGAUCCUGAGUUCAAGUACCAGCAGUUACUUGGUGACUUUCUUUUUCUUCUUAGGACCAGCUCACACCUGCUUAUCCCUGCUUCCACCCACCUUCUGAUGAGUGAAGGCACAGUGCACACUGGCAUCCAGGGUCCCUGACAGGAGAGGCCCCAAGUGGGCAUAUGGAUCCCUCAACAGAGUUUGCAAUUGAUUCCUGGUCACUCAUUUUGUUCAGUAAAUGGCUAUCCUUGCCAAGAGAAAUGCUCGCUCCCUGUCUGAACAAAUGUGGUCUCUGAGUUAUUAAGAUGAAAAAGAUGUAUUUUAUAAAGAUAUAAUGAAGUAUAAAGACAGGAUAUGCCUCUGGUAAGCUCAUGUUGAGGCAUUUCUUCCCCUGAGAGACCAGCCACAUGAUGGCAUAAUGUACUAUAAAGUUUAUUCAGAGCAUGACACCUACUCCCCGACAAGAGCUCUUACAGGUUCUCUUUACUACAGAUGGAGGCCAAGAAACUGACUCCUGACCCCACAGGGAACUCACCCAGAUUGGGGCUUUAAUGCGGUAGGGGGUGAGGAACGUCUCCAGAUUUGCUACCUGGCUCUGUAAGGAGGUCUCAACAAUAAUUUGGCCAAGGUUUAGAUAUUAUAUUAGAUAAGAUAAAAUAGAGAAUACUAGUAUGUAGCCCUGGCUUUCAUCAACUAGUUAAUGCCAAAUAUUAGAGAAAAGUUACAGAUUCAGGCUAAUAAAAGUUGCAGAGAGACUGUAGAAGAGUGCAAAUUAGACAAGAAAAAAUUAAUUAGAGCCCAUCUAGCCAACAAAGCCUCGGAUCCAGGAGAAAAGACUACCAUAGAAAUGGCCAAAGGUUUAUUUACCAAAGAAACUGGACUCAGUGACAGUAGGAUUGCCUGUGUUUAUUGUUGCCACACUACUGUUGCAUAAAGAUGCAGAUAAAUUAACUUUGGAACUCAUGACUAGGCUCCCCGAAAUUCUGCCUGAUGGCUCAGUAAUGCCUACAUGCUUCAUUAUCAGACUUUAUUAAUCAACUCUGGCCGAGAUAUUUUGCAGCCACCUGUUUCCUUGAACCCUGCAACUCUCCCACCUGACCCUGACUUAGACUAUGCACUCCAUCAAUGUGAUGAGGUCAUGGCCCAGUUAUACAAUACCCAGCCUGACUUGAGGGACUCUCCUCUAUCAGAGACAGAACAGACCUGGCUUAUGGACAGAAGCAGCUUCAUCUAUGAAGGUCAGAGGAGAGCAAGGGCAGCAGUGACAACAGAAAUGGAGGUAAUCUCUAUUCAAUCUCUUCCUUCAGGCACUUCAACUCAAAGGGCCAAGCUAUUAACAUUGACACAGGCCCUAGUCAUGGGAAAAGGACUGGGUGUUAGCAUCUUCAGGGACAGCCAGAUAUGCAUUUACAACUGCUCAUGUGCAUGGAACCAUUUACCAGGAACAAGGGCUCCUAACAGCAGAAGGAAGAACUGUCAAAAAUAAAGAUAAAAUUCUACAGGGCAUCAAAAAGGAACCAAUGACUAGAGAUCCACAGGGUCACUCACUUGGAAGUAAAACAAAUGCCGAACUUUAAAGCUUGCCAGAUGACCUACACUCCCAGGAACCCCAAAUAUCCAAAUUCCUGACAGGCCUGGUUUUAGAACCACACAAGUCAAAAGAGACUGGGUCUAUGUGAAGAGAUAGAUGCGCCUAAACCCAGGUGAAAAGGACAUUUCAUCAUCCUGAUGACGUGAUCACCACCUGGGUGUACUACAACCAUGCCAGACCUGCUACUCCACUGAAGAAGACUACUUGGCUCCAGCUGUACCAAAAUAGAGGGGUUCGAAAGGACACCACCCCCUCAAGUUAUGUAGUACAUGUCUUAUAUCCCCCUGUUAGCUUUUACACUAUAAGCUUCAAGAUUGACACUAUGCUAAAAGAAAAAGGGGGAAUGAAAGUGCUAGAGUUGGGGUCAGUCUGAGGCCAGUGGGAAAAUUCCACCACAACCUCCGAGCACAAAAAGACCCCUCCUUUUCAAGAGGAGUAGAGCUACAAGGAGUAGUUCCUGGAACAGCUACAAGCCAAAUUGUUGAACAAAGCCACCGGUAACUCCUCAUCUGACCCCCCUCAGGAACUCCCAGAACGGUCCACUGACCAUGUGUCAGUUUGGAGGUCAAUUUGCUCCACCAAUAGUACCGUGCCUAGUUACCAUUGUUUGAAUUCUGCCCCAAUUGUUUGCAAAGUAUAUAACUCCCUGUUAGUGUCUGCUCAGGGUUGUCUCUGAAAGGGAGUUGACCCCAGUGCGUUGGAAUAAAGCUCCUCUUGCUUUUGCAUUGAUUACUGACUCAGUGAAUCUCACUCAAGGGGUCCUGCAAGGGGUUAAGAUUGGACCUAACACGUCAACUUCCGGUGUUCACAUCCUUAGCCCCGCCCUCCAAGGCCUUUUCUGGGACCUGGUUUAGAUUUGCAAGUUCCUCAUCCUCCACAUUCAGGUAAUCCCUUCCCCUGCAUCUCUAGGGUGGGGAUAUCCCAGGAGUCAAGGGCUGCCGCUAACUUACAGAUAUCAAAGACAAGGUCCAGCCACCAGAUAUAAGGUGGGUGUUUCUCUGUAGUGGACCAAGCUACAUCCCCAGUGUCUGGGAAUACUUAUCAAGUCACUUUGGUAAGGUUGUGUGUGUGGGGUGUUGAGGCUCAGCAUGGGAAGGAAGAUACACCGUAGCCAUCUCAUGGUUUUUCUGGCCUUGCAGAAGGGUGUGUGAUCUUGAGCUUGAGGGGGUUGCUUGGAUGUCUGGCUGCUAUCCAAUUGACAUCAGGUGCUGGUCUGAUGUGAGUUAUGUGAACCCAGGCAAUUACUCCAUCCACGUUAAUGGCUGUCAGGGUGGUCAACAACACCAGGAAUGGUCCCUUUCCACUUUGCUCAAGUUUUAAGCACAUUGCCUCUUAACAUAUACCCAAUCUCCAACUCGUGUGGAAUCUCUGGGAUACCUAUGUUAUACAGGGCACUAAGUUUAGGCCACAAUUCCUGGUAGCUGAUCUGGAAAGCUUGCAAUCAAGCCAUAAGAUUCUUAUCAGCCUAAAAAGUUACUCUGGGGAGGGGGAGUGUCAAGAGCCAGGGUCAAGGGAGUGAGGAUCUUGAAGGGAGUUAGACUGACAUGAUAGGGGAUAUAUCUGGCCUUAAACAAUGACAUGGGAAGGAGCACCACCCAGCUUGUGCCAGUCUUUAAGGACAACUUGGUUAAGGUCUUCUUUAGGGUCUGAUUCAUCCUUUCUACCUGCCCUGAACUUUGGGGGAUGGUAUGCACAAUGGAGUUUCCAAUCUGUCCACAGAAACUUAACCACUCCCAAAAUAUUCCAGAAUGAUUACCCCUUAGCCUUUUUCCUGAUGGUGCCUUAGUGGGAUAGGCAUUUACCCUCUGACAAGCUUCACAAUUUCUAGCUAUCAUGUCUGCUAGUUUUCCUAGAUUUAAAAUAACUACACUGGACCCCUUGAUCACCUGUUCUAGUUUUCUACUACCAAGGUGGGUAUAUCUGUGCAUUUGUGUAAGCAGUUCAAGGGCCUGAUGUUAUGGUAGGACAGUUUUUCCCUCCAGUGUCUUCCAGUGUCCACUUUUUUCCAAAUAGAUAGUGGGACACCCUUUAAUCAGCUUUAGCUCAUGGUCAGUGUACCCAGGUAGUGACCAGUCACUUCUCAAUUUCUAAUCUGGGCUCUCUUCUCCUGGGUGGUGGUUUGUCAAGAGGAUAAUGUUUAUUUCUUUCAUUGCUACUUCCCUUGCUGCCUGGUCUGCCAGGUGGUUCUCAUUAGCUAUGGGGUCUUCACCUUUCUGGUGCCCAGGGCAAUGGAUUAUACCCACUUUUGCUGGUUUAAAAAGGGCCUGCAGUAGGGCAACAAUCUCUGGUUUGUUCUUGAUGAUCUUGUCUUCCAAGGUUAGGAGUCCCUGUUGUUGAUAAAUGGCCCCAUGCACACUCGCAGUCUGGAAGGCUUACCUGCUGUACCAUCACAGCUUCAGCCUUCCUUUGGCCAUCAACCAAGAAGUUGCUUCUGUCUCUCAGAUCUUGCAUGGGGCGAUAGUCCUGAGAACCAGAUUCUUUACAUGCAAUGGGCGUGUUCCAAGCAGAGCAGCACUUUCAUAGGACACCCAGUUGUAGCAGCCUGUAAUGUGAGGCUGCUCAUGCUUCCUGCAAAUCAAGUACUGGCACAUUGAGAUAGGAUUAGCCUGGGUCUUAAGCUCCACAUACACAGAGGCCUGCAGACAUGCAUAUCCUAGCCUGGCUGUUUCAGCCCAAGUGAGAGGAAACUUUUCCAACCACCAAGCAAUAUCUUCUGUCUUUUGGGUUUUGGACUUAAACAAUGUGUAUUUGUCCUAAUAAUAAGGACCUGGUUAGGUUCUCCAAUGGGCACCCUUAAUUGAAAGUCCUUGGGAAGGAAGUGGAUCUGAGCCCCCAUCUUGGAAAGCAAAUCUCUCUGAACCGCAUCCUCCCUAGUUGCUGUCUUUUCCAAGGGCUACCAUCUUGGGGGCCCUUUACCAAGGCCUGGGAUUUCCCACUCCCAGCUUCCGUAUGUUGGAGCACUCUCGGGUCCAGUGGUCUUUCCCCUUGCAAUAUGCACACUGGUCCUUUUUAAGGAUUUUUCUGUCUCUCUUUGGUUGGGGUCUUUCUUCUCUGCUUUCCCUAACUACUGUAACCAAAAUUCUCUGCAAAUUCCUUUCCUGUCACUUUUCUUUUUUCAUCUCCCUUUCAUCUUCCUUUCUCUUUCUCUGCUCCUUCUCCUCCUUUGUCUCCCUGUUAUGGUAUACUUUCACAGCAACCUGUACUAAAUCCCUCAACGACUUCUCCUGUAGUCAUUCUAACCUCUGAAGCUUUUUCCUGUUAUCUCUACUAACCUGCUCUAUAAAGGCCAUGGUCACAGUAGCUUUGUGCUCCUUGAUGCUGGGGUCAUAGGGUGUUUAUUGGUGGAGUGCCUCCACGAGCUGCUCUAGAAAGGCUGAGGGUGACUCGUCUGGUCCCCACUUAACCUCAUGUACCUUGGUCAAAUUUGUGGCCAUCGGGUGGCUGCCUUGAGACUUGUCAACAGAGCCUGGUGGUAGGCCUUAAGGCAGUCCUUACCCUUGGCUAAAUUAAAGUCCCAAUCAGGUUGGGUUAAAGGGAAUUCUAUGUCAAUGACUGAUAGCUUUUCUGAGGGAGUCCCUGUGACUGAGGGCACAUUCUUUUGGGCCUCAUUGAGGAUCCUUUCUCUCUCCUCAGUGGUGAAGAGGACCCUCAUAAGCUGUUGUAUGUCAUCCCAGAUGAGCUAAUGGGUAAACAGGACAGCUUCAAAGAGAUUAUUUGAAAAAGGAGGAUUCUGAGACUUCCAAUUGUAUAGGUCAGUAGAAGAGAACAGCCAAUAUUGCAUAGCUUGAUUGCCCUCAUCAUCAAGAGGCUCAUAUACCCUCAGCUGGAGGGCUACUGUGGUAUCAGGGGAGGUGGCUCUCUGAUUUCGGGUCCUCAUGGCAGGACUAGGAAGUUGGGGGUCUCCAGUAAAGGGAGGUACAACAGCCCCAGUCCUGUGUAGACCAAGGAUCCUGGGGCCUGUGCUGGUGCUGGCGGGGCCGUGGGGGCAAGGGUAGGGAGAUAUAGAGGAGGAGGGUCUUGGAGCAACAAGUCUGCUGUUGAAGGGUCUUGGAGGAUCGACUUCUGUAAGGUCCAGAUCCCUCCUUCUGUGUUUCCUUUUUCCUGGCAGCCAGAACCUCAAGGUGGGUUUUGGGGAAAGAAAUGCUUUUUUCUAUGGAGGGGAGGUCCCCGCUAGAUUCUUCCAAGUUAUUAUAUAGGGUGACCACGUGGUCCCUGUCUAAAAAUUCUCCCUUCAACUGCUCUGAUGACAGGCAAAUUGAAGGUCCCUGUGGGAAGUCAC